AAGUUUUCAAAAUGUGGCUAUCAUGCAAGAGAACUAGAACAUAAUUAAAUGAGCAAUCCCAAGAAAAGUGGAAACCUUACUACCUGUCGUGAAGUAGGCGAUCAGAGUCAUUCGCUCGUGGCUUUUCAAGCAAUGGAGACGUCGUCGGAUGCAAUGCAGGAACUCAGUGGUGUUGAUUGCUGAAUCCAGACUGUUGCACGAUUGAA
rnacentral:lncRNA from 1 species